UACAGAGGUCUCGAGCGUUAGGCGGAAUCACUGGGCUUAAAGCGUGUGUAGGCGGAUCGUUAAGUGCCUUGUGAAAUCCCCACGGCUCAACCGUGGAACUGCUUGGCAUACUGGCGGUCUUGAGCAACCUAGGGGCGAGCGGAACAAAUGGUGGAGCGGUGAAAUGCGUAGAUAUCAUUUGGAACGCCAAUGGUGAAAACAGCUCGCUGGGGGUUUGCUGACGCUGAGACGACGAAAGCC
rnacentral:rRNA from 1 species